rnacentral:rRNA from 1 species
UCCUACGGGAGGCAGCAGUGGGGAAUAUUGGACAAUGGGCGAAAGCCUGAUCCAGCCAUGCCGCGUGUGUGAAGAAGGUCUUCGGAUUGUAAAGCACUUUAAGUUGGGAGGAAGGGCAGUAAGCUAAUACCUUGCUGUUUUGACGUUACCGACAGAAUAAGCACCGGCUAACUCU